CAGUAGUAAGCUGUUAUUGUUGUUGAUUAUGUCAUAAAAAUGUGAGUCAAAGCGCCAAAGUCAGAUCAAAGCGCAGCAUGAUGCCUUAUAAACAAUAUGGCAACUCCACCCACGCUGACAUCGUAACCAGAUCGCAGGCGCUGCCUAAUUGUCAAGCCUUAAAUUGCGCGUCCAGUCGACGCCCACCUAACGAACACCUGGCUAUGCAUCGCUUUUGAUGAACUCAGCCAAAUGAGUCAUAAAAUUAAAA